AAUGAAUAGGGACCCAAAUGAAUAUUAAUUUGAAGAAUGGUAUUAAGAACAUGAUUAAUGGGGAGUUCUUAAGGUGAGGUUCUUAACAGGAUAUAAGAACUCGUCUCUUAACUUUUAACUAAAAAAACUAACAACCAACUCUUAAAUAAGGUAUUUAAGAGCCGGUUUUUAGCUUUUUUAGUUAAAAAUUAAGAGAUGAAUUCUUACAUCCCACUAAGAACUCUACCCUAAGAAUUCC